GCGGCGUGCCUAAUACAUGCAAGUCGAGCGGACUUGACAGAGCUUGCUCUGUUCAAGUUAGCGGCGGACGGGUGAGUAACACGUGGGCAACCUGCCCUGCAGAUUGGGAUAACUCCGGGAAACCGGGGCUAAUACGGAAUAACAUUGAAAACCUCAUGGUUUUCUUUUAAAAGGCGGCUUCGGCUGUCACUGCAGGAUGGGCCCGCGGCGCAUGAGCUAGUUGGUGAGGUAACGGCUCACCAAGGCGACGAUGCGUAGCCGACCUGAGAGGGUGAUCGGCCACACUGGGACUGAGACACGGCCCAGACUCCUACGGGAGGCAGCAGUAGGGAAUCUUCCGCAAUGGACGAAAGUCUGACGGAGCAACGCCCGCGUGAGUGAAGAAGGUUUUCGGAUCGUAAAACUCUGUUGUUAGGGAAGAACAAGUAUGCGGAGUAACUGUCCGGUACCUGAGCG
rnacentral:rRNA from 1 species